rnacentral:rRNA from 1 species
CCCUUCGACGUCUGGGGCCGCACGCGUGCUACAGUGGUGGUGGUAACGCGCGUUCCGUGCUCGUAAGGUGUUCGGGAAUCGUCAAGCUCCCCCAUGCCGGGGAUCGCGGCUUGCAAUUGUGCCUCGUGAACCAGGAAUGCCUAGUAGUCGCGGGUCAUGACCUCGCGUCGACUGCGUCCCUGCCCUUUGUACACACCGCCCGUCGCUACUACCGAUUGAACGGUUUAGUGAGGGCCUCGGAUUGGUCUCGGCCCGCUCUUUACCGGGCGGCGCCGUUGGUCGAGAAGACGCUCGAACUUGAUCGUUUAGAGGAAGUAAAAGUCGUAACA